rnacentral:rRNA from 1 species
AGCAGAGCACUCCUCGGGAGGCAGCAGUGGGGAAUAUUGCACAAUGGGCGCAAGCCUGAUGCAGCCAUGCCGCGUGUGUGAAGAAGGCCUUCGGGUUGUAAAGCACUUUCAGUCGUGAGGAAGGUAGUGUAGUUAAUAGCUGCAUUAUUUGACGUUAGCAACAGAAGAAGCACCGGCUAACUCCGUGCCAGCAGCCGCGGUAAUACGGAGGGUGCGAGCGUUAAUCGGAAUUACUGGGCGUAAAGCGCAUGCAGGUGGUUUGUUAAGUCAGAUGUGAAAGCCCGGGGCUCAACCUCGGAAUUGCAUUUGAAACUGGCAGACUAGAGUACUGUAGAGGGGUAGAAUUUCAGGUGUAGCGGUGAAAUGCGUAGAGAUCUGAAGGAAUACCGGUGGCGAAGGCGGCCCCCUGGACAGAUACUGACACUCAGAUGCGAAAGCGUGGGGAGCAAACAGGAUUAGAUACCCUGGUAG